UCUGAGUAACAGCAGCUCCCUGCUCAGUCCAUACCUUGGGAAUACAGUCACUUGGAAGUGCUGAAAAAUCCCAGCGGGUGGGAACAGGAGAUGCCCCAUCCUCAGGAAGGAAAAAAGAGCCCAAAGGGAUGAGAGUAACAAUCCAGCAGGGCCUGCAAGUCAACACCAUUCCUGGACUGAUCCAGGAACUCUGGCAGCACCAGCACCUCUGUGAGGCCCCAGCCUGCAGCAGAGCCAGCACAGCAGGGGACAGGCACUUCCUCCAGGACACUUCCAACGGGGAUGAGGGAAGAGCUGAGCAUCCUUCCGUGGCCCAAACUUCCUGAACAGAUUCAGUUUUUCCAGAAUGAGGAGAUACAGUGAAAAUGGGAGAAAUCGGUCCAAUAGCACUCAAGAAACUGGCAAUAAAGAAGACAUGUCAGUCACUUGUAGGAA